UACGAAGGGGGCUAGCGUUGCUCGGAAUCACUGGGCGUAAAGCGCACGUAGGCGGAUCCUUAAGUCGGGGGUGAAAUCCUGGAGCUCAACUCCAGAACUGCCUUCGAUACUGAGGAUCUCGAGUCCGGGAGAGGUGAGUGGAACUGCGAGUGUAGAGGUGAAAUUCGUAGAUAUUCGCAAGAACACCAGUGGCGAAGGCGGCUCACUGGCCCGGUACUGACGCUGAGACGCGAAAGCGUGGGGAGCAAACAGG
rnacentral:rRNA from 1 species